AGCUUUGCGCAGUGGCAGAAUCAUAGCUCAUGAGGGCAAAACGAGGCGUGAUUGUUACUGGUUGAAAACUUUUAUCAAUACCCCGCUGUGAUGACUUGAAAUAUAGUCAGCACUGGCAGUUUUUGACAGUUUCCCAGGAGA